rnacentral:rRNA from 1 species
CCCUUAGAUGUUCUGGGCCGCACACGCGCUACACUGAAGGAGGCAGCGUGUACUCCUGGAUCGAAAGAUUUGGGUAACCCGCGAAUCUCCUUCGUGCUAGGGAUUGAGGUUUGCAAUUAUCCUUCAUGAACGAGGAAUUCUCAGUAAGUGCAAGUCAUAAGCUUGCGCUGACUACGUCCCUGCCCUUUGUACACACCGCCCGUCGCUACUACCGAUUGAAUGAUUUAGUGAGGACUUCGGACUGGGACCGAUGCGGCUUUCGGGCUGCGUCGGUAUUCUGGAAAGAUGUCCAAACUGUAUCAUUUAGAGGAAGUAAAANUCGUANCA